rnacentral:rRNA from 1 species
AGUGAACGCUGGCGGUAGGCCUAACACAUGCAAGUCGAACGGCAGCACAGUAAGAGCUUGCUCUUACGGGUGGCGAGUGGCGGACGGGUGAGGAAUACAUCGGAAUCUACUUUUUCGUGGGGGAUAACGUAGGGAAACUUACGCUAAUACCGCAUACGACCUACGGGUGAAAGCAGGGGAUCUUCGGACCUUGCGCGAUUGAAUGAGCCGAUGUCGGAUUAGCUAGUUGGCGGGGUAAAGGCCCACCAAGGCGACGAUCCGUAGCUGGUCUGAGAGGAUGAUCACCCACCCUGGAACUGAGACACGUUCCAGACUCCUACGGGAGGCAGCAGUGGGGAAUAUUGGACAAUGGGCGCAAGCCUGAUCCAGCCAUACCGCGUGGGUGAAGAAGGCCUUCGGGUUGUAAAGCCCUUUUGUUGGGAAAGAAAAGCAGCAGGUUAAUACCCCGCUGUUCUGACGGUACCCAAAGAAUAAGCACCGGCUAACUUCGUG